UACGGAGGGUGCGAGCGUUGUUCGGAAUCACUGGGCGUAAAGGGUGCGUAGGCGGGCAGGUAAGUCCGUGGUGAAAUCUCUGAGCUUAACUCAGAAACUGCCAUGGAUACUAUUUGUCUUGAAUGUUGUGGAGGUAAGCGGAAUAUGUCAUGUAGCGGUGAAAUGCUUAGAUAUGACAUAGAACACCAAUUGCGAAGGCAGCUUACUACACAAAUAUUGACGCUGAGGCACGAAGGCGUGGGGAUCAAACAGG
rnacentral:rRNA from 1 species